CACGGACCGCACGAACGUUAUUCGGUAUCACUGGGCUUAAAGGGUGCGUAGGCGGCUUUGCAAGACAGAUGUGAAAUCCCCGGGCUCAACCUGGGAACUGCAUUUGUGACUGCAAGGCUAGAGUACGGCAGAGGGGGAUGGAAUUCCGCGUGUAGCAGUGAAAUGCGUAGAUAUGCGGAGGAACACCGAUGGCGAAGGCAAUCCCCUGGGCCUGUACUGACGCUCAUGCACGAAAGCGUGGGGAGCAAACAGG
rnacentral:rRNA from 1 species